rnacentral:tRNA from 1 species
CCUUUAGUAGCUUAAUGGUUACAGCAUUGGUGCGUAAAGCGAAGUGUCCCGGGUUCGAUUCCCGGCGAGGGUG